rnacentral:lncRNA from 1 species
AAACAUACGAUGUGAGAAAUGUUUAUGUAAGUGUCAGCACACAGCCAGAAGCAGCUUUUGUUAGCCUCCAGAAUUCCUAAUGACUCUCCUGCCUGCCAUAAUGAGUCUCAUGUGUGCUGUGUCUGCUCCCCUGACUGUGAGGAGUGGCUUACUCCUUGCUCCUGCGAUGAGUCAUGAGUCCCCUACUCCCUCUGCCUUUAAGU